rnacentral:rRNA from 1 species
CGAUGAUAGGUAGGGGUUCUGAGAGGAAGGUCCCCCACAUUGGAACUGAGACACGGUCCAAACUCCUACGGGAGGCAGCAGUGAGGAAUAUUGGUCAAUGGACGUAAGUCUGAACCAGCCAAGUCGCGUGAGGGAAGACUGCCCUAUGGGUUGUAAACCUCUUUUAUAAGGGAAGAAUAAGUUCUACGUGUAGAAUGAUGCCUGUACCUUAUGAAUAAGCAUCGGCUAACUCCGUGCCAGCAGCCGCGGUAAUACGGAGGAUGCGAGCGUUAUCCGGAUUUAUUGGGUUUAAAGGGUGCGUAGGCGGUUUAUUAAGUUAGUGGUUAAAUAUUUGAGCUAAACUCAAUUGUGCCAUUAAUACUGGUAAACUGGAGUACAGACGAGGUAGGCGGAAUAAGUUAAGUAGCGGUGAAAUGCAUAGAUAUAACUUAGAACUCCGAUAGCGAAGGCAGCUUACCAGACUGUAACUGACGCUGAUGCACGAGAGCGUGGGUAGCGAACAGGAUUAGAUACCCUGGUAGUCCACGCCGUAAACGAUGCUCACUGGUUCUGUGCGAUAUAUUGUACGGGAUUAAGCGAAAGUAUUAAGUGAGCCACCUGGGGAGUACGUCGGCAACGAUGAAACUCAAAGGAAUUGACGGGGGCCCGCACAAGCGGAGGAACAUGUGGUUUGCUCGUGCCGUGAGGUGUCGGGUUAAGUCCCAUAACGAGCGCAACCCUUACCGUUAGUUGCUAGCAUGUAAUGAUGAGCACUCUAACGGGACUGCCACCGUAAGGUGAGAGGAAGGCGGGGAUGACGUCAAAUCAGCACGGCCCUUACACCCAGGGCUACACACGUGUUACAAUGGCCGGUACAGAGGGCCGCUACCAGGUGACUGGAUGCCAAUCUCAAAAGCCGGUCGUAGUUCGGAUUGGAGUCUGUAACCCGACUCCAUGAAGUUGGAUUCGCUAGUAAUCGCGCAUCAGCCAUGGCGCGGUGAAUACGUUCCCGGGCCUUGUACACACCGCCCGUCAAGCCAUGGAAGCCGGGGGUGCCUGAAGUCCGUAACCGCGAGGAUCGGCCUAGGGCAAAACUGGUAACUGGGGCUAAGUCGUAACAAGGUAGCCGUACCGGAAGGUGCGGCUG